CCCAUGGGUUGUAAGCUGUCAACAACAUUGUGUCCUGUGAAAAGUGUUUGAUAAACUGAAUAAACCUUAUGCCAUUUAAUAAACCCAGGCAAGAGACUUUGGUCGUAAUAGCAGUCAACCAGGAUGCAGAACAAUCCCACACAAUCAAUGCAGCUGAACCAACCCAAGCCCUUACAAAUCAUCAAAACCUCACAGAGUCCCGGGGAUGACCUGACAUUAUCACAGCUAUUCUCGGAAACCUUUCAUACACCUGCCACAUCCAGAAGCAACACGGAGGACAUGGUCUCCCUUCAGCGUCAGCUUUUGGAGGAAGUUAAAAUGCUGAGGCGUACUCAGGAGCAACUUCUGCAGGUGGAGAGGGAAAUGCUGCUCGUCGAGAGGGAGAAGCUUCGCCUUGCCCAAGCCAAGUUUGAUU